AAAAGUAAUAAAAGCUUCUCUUGAGAUCUCUCUCACGGACCACACAUUCUUCUUCCUCACUUCCAACCCCAACGCACAACCAUCAUCCUCCUUUAAACCACACAUGACCUUUGUGAUGUCGCCGCUCAACCAUCCACCGUGAACAGCCACAACAAUAAACAGAACCACGCACGUCGUUCGUCCUUCACCGCACCACAGUGAAUCCGCUCAUUUCCAUUCGCAACUGCACCACCACUCAUAACCAAACAACUUCGACAACCACCUAAUCUGUCUUCUCACCCCUAAUCUUCUUCCACACUGUCGAACAACAACCACUUCCGGCCACGAAUACCACUGCCACUAACCGCCAGAACACCACCAGAAGCGUCCUCCUUCUACCAUCGCCAUCCACCAAUCUCACAAACGGGUUCCCACAUAUCAAGGUUUCUUUGCUAGCAUCUGCAGUGGUGCUUCCGUCGCUCUUCUGCACGCCGCCAUGUUCGAGUCAAAAAGAAGGCAGCAGAAAACAUCAACAAACCGUCACAAAUCAUUGCUCCCGGCUUUCCAUUUCAAUUCGUACCAAGGCUUCGCAAUGUCGAUACAGCAGCAACCAACGUAACAACAACUCCUUAUACAACUCGGUAACAUUGUCGACUAUACGGCAACGGUAACGAUUCAAUGAUGUUGGAAUCAAUUUCACUCACGGCACGGUGGUGAUUAACCGUUUGUUGUCCCAUUAAUGUUUGCUUCUGUUCCAAUUUUUUUUUGAAAAUCUAAGAAUGAUAUGUUACUGUUUUGGGUAUUUGGAAUAUUUUAAAAUAAGGUUUGUAAAUAAUCAUUUUCAAUUGCUACUCUUAAAUCUUUCCACUUUCAUUGUGUUUAGUCAUGAGCUUUUGGAAUCAUAUGUUGGACGUUCAUUGUGUUUA